rnacentral:rRNA from 1 species
CCUACGGGGGGCAGCAGUAGGGAAUCUUCGGCAAUGGACGAAAGUCUGACCGAGCAACGCCGCGUGAGUGAAGAAGGUUUUCGGAUCGUAAAACUCUGUUGUUAGAGAAGAACAAGGAUGAGAGUAGAAUGUUCAUCCCUUGACGGUAUCUAACCAGAAAGCCACGGCUAACUACGUGCCAGCAGCCGCGGUAAUACGUAGGUGGCAAGCGUUGUCCGGAUUUAUUGGGCGUAAAGCGAGCGCAGGCGGUUUCUUAAGUCUGAUGUGAAAGCCCCCGGCUCAACCGGGGAGGGUCAUUGGAAACUGGGAAACUUGAGUGCAGAAGAGGAGAGUGGAAUUCCAUGUGUAGCGGUGAAAUGCGUAGAUAUAUGGAGGAACACCAGUGGCGAAGGCGGCUCUCUGGUCUGUAACUGACGCUGAGGCUCGAAAGCGUGGGGAGCAAACAGGAUUAGAUACCCCAGUAGUC